UACGGAGGGGACUAGCGUUGUUCGGAAUUACUGGGCGUAAAGCGCACGUAGGCGGAUUUGUAAGUCAGGGGUGAAAUCCCGGGGCUCAACCUCGGAACUGCCUUUGAUACUGCAAAUCUCGAGUCCGGAAGAGGUGAGUGGAAUUCCAGGUGUAGCGGUGAAAUGCGUAGAUAUCUGGAGGAAUACCGAUGGCGAAGGCAGGUCUCUGGGCUGACACUGACGCUGAGGCGCGAAAGCUAGGGUAGCAAACGGG
rnacentral:rRNA from 1 species